UACGUAGGGUGCGAGCGUUGUCCGGAUUUAUUGGGCGUAAAGAGCUCGUAGGCGGUUUGUCGCGUCGGCCGUGAAAUCUCCACGCUUAACGUGGAGCGUGCGGUCGAUACGGGCAGGCUUGAGUUCGGUAGGGGAGACUGGAAUUCCUGGUGUAGCGGUGAAAUGCGCAGAUAUCAGGAGGAACACCGGUGGCGAAGGCGGGUCUCUGGGCCGAUACUGACGCUGAGGAGCGAAAGCCAGGGGAGCAAACGGG
rnacentral:rRNA from 1 species